CAUAUACUCCCUCCGUUCCAAAUUAGUUGACUUGGAUUUAUCUAGAUACGGAUAUAUCUAACACUAAAACAUGUCUAGAUAUAUCCGUAUCUAGACAAAUCCAAGUCAACUAAUUUGGAACGGAGGGAGUAUUAG
rnacentral:pre_miRNA from 1 species